GACGAACGCUGGCGGCGUGCCUAAUACAUGCAAGUAGAACGCUGAAGGAGGAGCUUGCUUCUCUGGAUGAGUUGCGAACGGGUGAGUAACGCGUAGGUAACCUGCCUGGUAGCGGGGGAUAACUAUUGGAAACGAUAGCUAAUACCGCAUAAGAGUAGAUGUUGCAUGACAUUUGCUUAAAAGGUGCAAUUGCAUCACUACCAGAUGGACCUGCGUUGUAUUAGCUAGUUGGUGGGGUAACGGCUCACCAAGGCGACGAUACAUAGCCGACCUGAGGGGGUGAUCGGCCACACUGGGACUGAGACACGGCCCAGACUCCUACGGGAGGCAGCAGUAGGGAAUCUUCGGCAAUGGACGGAAGUCUGACCGAGCAACGCCGCGUGAGUGAAGAAGGUUUUCGGAUCGUAAAGCUCUGUUGUAAGAGAAGAACGAGUGCGAGAGUGGAAAGUUCACACUGUGACGGUAUCUUACCAGAAAGGGACGGCUAACUACGU
rnacentral:rRNA from 1 species